CAGGUGCUAUUGUGUGAAACCAGGCAAACAUGUGCUGCUGAGAUGAGGGCCCUGGGGACCUUCCAAGAGCAGCUUGAGUUUCUCAGGGGUGCUGUGCUCCUGAGCUUCUUCCUGUGUGUAACACCAGCAGUCUGGACUUGGGCAUGAAUAAAUCAGCAAGAGGUGAAUCUGGUUCAUUGAAAAGCUUGAUCCAGAGAAAUAGUCUUGGAAAUAAUUAAAAUGGUGUUGACCAACAAUGCUCAAAUGGAACGAACUGGUUUCACUGGCUUUGCCUUCCCCCCUCACAGGAUGAAGGGCAAAACACAGCAGGAAACCGAGACAAUAUUAUUAAGUGUGCAAAGGAAAAAAUGCUAUAAAUAUUUUGGUUGAAACAGCAGAGACAUUAAAGAUAAAAGUUAAAUGGAAAUAAAGGCAGUCAGAUGGUUAUUAUAUGUUGCUAUAAAAUCCAAGAGCUGUUAGAAUAGGUAGAUCAGGGUUUGCUUUUAAAAAAAUGACAGGCCUGUAAGAAAGCAAUAUUUUUGAUUGAUAGAGAUUUUAAUUGCUCUGAUAUUUAUUGGAAUGACAGCUAUUAGGAAUUGAAGCAGUGAUAAGGGAUUCUCUGAAGCUUGAGGGUAUUUGGAUAAACACCUCAAAUUUGAAUGCCUAUCAGAAGGUUAUUAAACUUAUUAAAACCUUGAAUUUUUCAUUUGGGCUAAAAGUCUUUGAAAAGAGGUUUGCUUGGUGAAUUUCUUAUGAAAUGAUAUAGAUUCCAUUAGUGAUGACUUUUUCUUUCUCUCCUCUUGAGAAGCAUGUGCAAGCUAGGUUAGGCAGGAAUUGCUGACAUGCAUAUCUGCAGAGAUUAUAGUGUUAAGGACAAAAAUUCAUGUGGCUAAAAUAUGUUCCAGAAAAAUAUAUAGCCUUAGAAUUAACAAAUGGUGUUACUUCCCCUAGCAAUUCAGGUUUUAUUUUUAUGAGACCUAAUCUGCACAUGUGCUGUUUUCCAUCUAUGGCAACUUGUGUUUUUAGAAAGUUAAUUACUUGCUUUGGAUAUGUAAUUGGAAAAUUUAGUCCUGAAAUAUUAACAGUUCUCUUCUGAAUGCCUGUGGUCCAAAAUGAUUUUCAGAACUGUUGAGCAUCCAAAGACUGAAUCAAAAAGAGGAGGAGGCUCUCAGUGUGUCAGAGACCAGGGGCUGUGAGAACUCCAAGCGCGGUCAUCACAUCACAGCUUUGCUGAUCUGUGUGUCCUUUAUUAUCCUACCGAGAUGAAAAACGAAUAGCAAAGUUAA